rnacentral:tRNA from 1 species
GGGGUUGUAGCUCAGUGGCAGAGCACUUGCCUCACAUGCUUAAGGCCCUGGCUUCAAUCCCCAACAAACCCU